rnacentral:lncRNA from 1 species
UAUUUUUUCUGUCUAUUCGAAAUAACAUAAAAAAUGUGGUGCACACUGUUAAAUAACCCGCUACGCGCGUUAUUCAGUGUGCACCAAAUUUUUAAUGUUAUUUCUUCAUAGACAGAAAAAAUAUUACAGUCAUUCCUUAAAUACAUUUAUUGGUGUUUCACAUUUCGUAUGUAAUGUAAAUAAGCAAAUGUAAGUCAAUGUAUAUAUGCUUAUUUGUGUUUUUCUUUUGUAAAAAGAUGACCAUGUAAUCAAAUACAUUUUAUACAUCAUGUACAUGUUGAUGUUGUAAUGAUUUGAAAAAAGUCUCCCUUUUACCUUUAAAAAUGUAUCUAUAUAAAGGGAACUAACUGUUUGUGAAUGAUUGCUUUUACACUUUGUGCCUUUGAUAUUAGUGCUAAGAGAUCUUCCAAUUUAUUUUUAAUGUUUGGUUUAUAUUUUGUUUUGUAAUUUGUUUUUUACUCUAAAGUAGGUAACAGAGAAAUUAAGGUACCUGUUAUUCUGUCUUGAUUAUGUCUGUUUAUAAAAAAAGACUAAUUGAUCUGCUGCUUUAUACAAAUUUUGUUUUAGGUAUGUAGUUUUUUUUUAAAUGAAAUACUCUUACCAAUGUUUAUAACAGCAAAAUGUUUAAUCCCUGUAUGAAGAAAUGAACUAAAAGCUGUUGGAAAAAAAGGAUCCCAACCUAAAAAUUGUCAAAUAACACAAAAAGAAGGAAAAUUUACCCAGAAGUAGAGGAAGUUAAUAUUUUCAAAAGAAAAGAUGAAAAUUCAUAGGUAAUCACAUGUAAUUGACAGUUUUUUUCGCCAUUGUUUCUUUUCUACAAUGUUUAUCUUUAGAUUAAGAGUUAAACUAAUGCUUUGUUAAAUAUAUUUCUAGUAAUAAUGGUGUAAAUUAUAUAGAUCUUUUUAGCAAUUAUGAUGUGUAUGAAAAGGCUUGUUUAUUAAAGUAUCAGACAUAUGAAUGGGAGGGUGUUCAAAUUUUAAUUGAACCAUUAAACACAAUUUCUUUCAUGACUACCCUCUCCAUAGUAGAAGAACUUUUGAUUUGUUUGCCAGAUGCAGUGCAUAUGUACUUUCUCAGGCUGUUAUAUGUAGACUUCCAGUAAAAGCAUAUUGGUUAGUCAUACUUUUGUUUUAAUUGCAACCAUAAUGAAUGACAACUUUUUCCCUCUAAUUAAUAUCUUCUUGGAAUGCACAUAUAUCAGUCACAAAAAGCAUCAUCUAUAUCAAACACAUGCAACAAGAUAUUUCAUUGUGUGGUGUAAUUAUUUAAUACGACAAGGUAGUUUUAUUGUUUUCUGUGACAAAAUAUGAAUAAUACAGCUUGCAUCUUUAAAACAAUCAUAUUGCUCGCUGCAUCAAUCAUAUUAAUAUAUUAAUGUCAUAACUCUAAUGUGUGAUUUGUUCUUUGUGGAGCAAUGAACGAGAGAGUGUUUUUAAUAAGUAUACCAGUGAUUUAACAGUAUUCCAUAAAUGUACAACUUAACUUAUAAUACAUGUUGUUUUGAUCUUUCUGCUAGGUGCUCUUUAAUUGAUGAGGGCUCCAAUCAAUUUUUGGAGACAAUAUUAGCCAAUGCAAAACAUUAUAUCCAUUCUAAAUAAUCCCAUGUUUGUGAUUUAUGUAAAUUAUUUACUGCAGAACUGAGGUUGUUUGCAUAAACUUAUAAAACAUACAUUCCUCCAUUGUUUUUUUUUUUUAUUUAUGUUGUAUGUUGCUAAUUUAUUGAAGAAUAUGUUUAUUUAUAAUUUUUAUUAUUAUGUUUUCAAUUUGUGUUGCAUUGUUAUAAAUAAUAAAUGUGAUCCAGCUUUUA